rnacentral:tRNA from 1 species
GCGGCAUUAGUUUAACGGUUAGAAUACCUCGUUGUGGCCGAGGAGAUGGUAGUUCGAUUCCACCAUGGCGCA